rnacentral:rRNA from 1 species
CACGUAGGGCGCAAGCGUUGUCCGGAAUUAUUGGGCGUAAAGAGCUCGUAGGCGGUCUGUUACGUCUGCUGUGAAAACCCUGGGCUUAACCCUGGGCUUGCAGUGGAUACGGGCAGACUAGAGGCAGGUAGGGGAGAAUGGAAUUCCCGGUGUAGCGGUGAAAUGCGUUGAUAUCGAUAGGAACUCCGGUGGCGAAGGCGGCAUACUGGACCACCUCUGACGCUGAGGCGCGAAAGCCAGGGGAGCAAACGGG